UACGGAGGGUGCGAGCAUUAAUCGGAUUUAUUGGGCGUAAAGGGCGCGUAGGCGGAGGGAAAAGUCAGACGUGAAAUCCCGGGGCUCAACCCCGGAACGGCAUUUGAAACUGUCCCUCUAGAGGGUAGUCGGAGGAACGAAUUCCGACAAGUAGCGGUGAAAUGCGUAGAGAUGUGGAAGAACACCGGUGGCGAAGGCGGUUUCUAGAUUACACCUGACGCUCAGGCGCGAAAGCAAGGGGAUCAAACAGG
rnacentral:rRNA from 1 species